rnacentral:rRNA from 1 species
GACGAACGCUGGCGGCGUGCUUAACACAUGCAAGUCGAACGGAAAGGCCCUGCUUUUGUGGGGUGCUCGAGUGGCGAACGGGUGAGUAACACGUGAGUAACCUGCCCUUGACUUUGGGAUAACUUCAGGAAACUGGGGCUAAUACCGGAUAGGAUCUCCUGCUGCAUGGUGGGGGUUGGAAAGUUUCGGCGGUUGGGGAUGGACUCGCGGCUUAUCAGCUUGUUGGUGGGGUAGUGGCUUACCAAGGCUUUGACGGGUAGCCGGCCUGAGAGGGUGACCGGCCACAUUGGGACUGAGAUACGGCCCAGACGCCUACGGGAGGCAGAAGUGGGGAAUAUUGCACAAUGGGCGGAAGCCUGAUGCAGCAACGCCGCGUGCGGGAUGACGGCCUUCGGGUUGUAAACCGAUUUCGCCUGUGACGAAGCGUGAGUGACGGUAAUGGGUAAAGAAGCACCGGCUAACUACGUG